rnacentral:rRNA from 1 species
CUUGAACGCUGGCGGCAGGCCUCACACAUGCAAGUCGAACGAGUGGCGGACGGGUGAGUAAUGUCUGGGAAACUGCCUGAUGGAGGGGGAUAACUACUGGAAACGGUAGCUAAUACCGCAUACCAUCAGAUUUUCCCAUAUGGGAUUAGCUAGUAGGUGAGGUAACGGCUCACCUCGGCUACGAUACCUAGCUGGUCUGAUAGGAUGACCAGCAAAACUGGAACUGAGAAACGGUCCAGACUCCUACGGGAGGCAGCAGUGGGGAAUAUUGCACAAUGGGCGCAAGCCGGAUGAAGCGAUGCCGCGUGUAUGAAGAAGGCCUUCGGGUUGUAAAGUACUUGCAGCGGGGAGGCGUUACCCGCAGAAGAAGCACCGGCUAACGCCGUGCCAGCAGCCGCGGUAAUAC